rnacentral:rRNA from 1 species
GAUGAACGCUGGCGGCGUGCCUAAUACAUGCAAGUCGAGCGAACGGACGAGAAGCUUGCUUCUCUGAUGUUAGCGGCGGACGGGUGAGUAACACGUGGAUAACCUACCUAUAAGACUGGGAUAACUUCGGGAAACCGUAGCUAAUACCGGAUAAUAUUUUGAACCGCAUGGUUCAAAAGUGAAAGACGGUCUUGCUGUCACUUAUAGAUGGAUCCGCGCUGCAUUAUCUAGUUGGUAAGGUAACGGCUUACCAAGGCAACGAUGCAUAGCCGACCUGAGAGAGUGAUCGGCCACACGGGAACUGAGACACGGUCCAGACUCCUACGGGAGGCAGCAGUAGGGAAUCUUCCGCAAUAGGCGAAAGCCUGACGGAGCAACGCCGCGUGAGUGAUGAAGGUCUUCGGAUCGUAAAACUCUGUUAUUAGGGAAGAACAGAUGUGUAAGUAACUGUGCACAUCUUGACGGUACCUAAUCAGAAAGCCACGGCUAACUACGUG